CGGCAAUAGCUCAAAUUUGAAAUCUGGCUCUUUCAGGGUCCGAGUUGUAAUUUGUAGAGGAUGCUUUUGGCGCGGUGCCUUCCGAGUUCCCUGGAACGGGACGCCAUAGAGGGUGAGAGCCCCAUCUGGUCGGACACCAAGCCUCUGUAAAGCUCCUUCGAC
rnacentral:rRNA from 1 species